rnacentral:rRNA from 1 species
UGAAAUAGUACCCCGAGAGGGGAGUGAAAUAGUUCCUGAAACGGUAUGCCUACAAGCAGUCGGAGCCUACUUACGAGUGGGUUACGGCGUACCUUUUGCAUAAUGGGUCAGCGAGUAGACAUAUCUUGCAAGCUUAAGCCGGUAGGUGGAGGCCUAGUGAAAGCAAGUCUUAAUAGGGCGUGAUAGAGUAAGAUAUGUCUGACCCGAAACCAGGUGAUCUAGUUAUGUGCCGGUGGAAGAUUUAUCAACAUAAAUCGGAGGACCUCACCCACGUCUGUGGCAAUAGACGGGGAUGACAUGUGACUAGGGGUGAAAAGCCAAUCGAACCUGGAUAUAGCUGGUUUUCUGCGAAAUCUAUUUAGGUAGAGC